rnacentral:rRNA from 1 species
CCUACGGGUGGCUGCAGUGAGGAAUAUUGGUCAAUGGGCGCGAGCCUGAACCAGCCAAGUAGCGUGAAGGAUGACUGCCCUACGGGUUGUAAACUUCUUUUAUAAAGGAAUAAAGUGAGGCACGUGUGCCUUUUUGUAUGUACUUUAUGAAUAAGGAUCGGCUAACGCCGUGCCAGCAGCCGCGGUAAUACGGAGGGUCCGGGCGUUAUCCGGAUUUAGUGGGGUUAAAGGGAGCGUAGAGGGGUUGUUAAGUCAGUUGUGACAGUUUGCGGCUCAACCGGAAAAUUGCAAUUGUUACUGGCAGUCUUGAGUACAGUUGUGGUAGGCGGAUUUCGUGGUGUAGCGGUGAAAUGCUUCGAUCUCACGAAGAACUCCGAUUGCGAAGGCAGCUUACUAAACUGCCACUGACAUUGAUGCUCGACAGUGUGUGUAUCAAACAGGAUUAGAUACCCUUGUAGUC